rnacentral:rRNA from 1 species
UCCUACGGGAGGCAGCAGUAAGGAAUAUUGGUCAAUGGACGCAAGUCUGAACCAGCCAUGCCGCGUGCAGGAAGACGGCCCUAUGGGUUGUAAACUGCUUUUGUCAGGGAAUAAACCCCCGUACGUGUACGGGGCUGAAGGUACCUGAAGAAUAAGCAUCGGCUAACUCCGUGCCAGCAGCCGCGGUAAU